rnacentral:misc_RNA from 1 species
AACGCCCGCUAUGAAAAAGGCGCGAUGAUCCUCACUUCGAACCGCGGAUUUGCCGAAUGGGGCGAGGUCGAAAACAGCGAAACGAAUACCAACUGUUUUCAACAAACCAGGCAACCAAAACCAGCGCCGCCACGCUGUCCGCGAUUUAGCGAAACUGCUGUCCGUCAGUUAGCGAAACUGCUGUCCCGUUUUUGCGAAAUACGCA